rnacentral:rRNA from 1 species
AGCGGCGGACGGGUGAGUAAUGCCUGGGAAAUUGCCCUGAUGUGGGGGAUAACCAUUGGAAACGAUGGCUAAUACCGCAUAAUAGCUUCGGCUCAAAGAGGGGGACCUUCGGGCCUCUCGCGUCAGGAUAUGCCCAGGUGGGAUUAGCUAUUUGGUGAGGUAAUGGCUCACCAAGGCGACGAUCUCUAGCUGGUCUGAGAGGAUGAUCAGCCGCACUGGAACUGAGACACGGUCCAGACUCCUACGGGAGGCAGCAGUGGGGAAUAUUGCACAAUGGGCGCAAGCCCGAUGCAGCCAUGCCGCGUGUAUGAAGAAGGCCUUCGGGUUGUAAAGUACUUUCAGCAGUGAGGAAGGUGGGUAUGUUAAUAGCAUAUUCAUUUGACGUUAGCUGCAGAAGAAGCACCGGCUAACUCCGUGCCAGCAGCCGCGGUAAUACGGAGGGUGCGAGCGUUAAUCGGAAUUACUGGGCGUAAAGCGCAUGCAGGUGGUUUGUUAAGUCAGAUGUGAAAGCCCGGGGCUCAACCUCGGAAUUGCAUUUGAAACUGGCAAA